UUCAAAAACUUCAAAUUUAAUCAGCAAAAAAUAGAAAAAAAAAUAUAUCAAAGAAGAAAAAAGUUAUUAAAGCAUUUUUCCAAAGAAAAGGAAACAUAGGAAGAGCCCAGUCAGUUGCCCCCUAAAAAAACACAGAAGACCAAUGAUCUGGAGGGAAACUCUUGAAGAUUAUUAUCUCCCAAAGCAAUGGGAAACUUCGUUACUAGGUCAUUUUACUAUGAACUUUUUGCAGCAAUAAUUAUUUCUCAUUUUUGUUGAUCACUGCAGUCAAAUAAAAUUAUUUUUACACAUUCCAGAACAUAAAGAACUCCAGCACUGACAUAAAUAUUUUUUCCAUUGACAGAAACUUAGAUCUUGAGGAAUUUACCAAAAAUGUAGGUACGUCUUGAUACAACUGGGAUGGUCACAUAACAGAUAGCUUGAUACCGAAACAGGAACACUUGCUUAAAAUCAAGCUUCAGUGUCUAGAGAUCUUUGAAGCUUCUCUUUCAGUGGUGAUGUAAUGCAUUACGAAAUGAAGAGAUGAGACUGAAUCUCAAAGAUCUUAGAAAGUUCUGUCCAGUUGAUUAGGGACUGAAAAGAUUUUUUUACCUUUCAAGGUUAAAUAUUCCCAGAUGAGUCCUAUGCCUAAAAGCUUAGUCCUGCUGUUUUUCAACUAAUCAUUUGCAAAACUGAAGGAAAAAUAAAAAUUAAAAAGGUAAGACAGAAAAAAAAAAAAAAAAAAAAAAAGAGAGACUUCUGGUAGGUGAGCCACAGCAGGGCAAUUAAGAUGAUAUGGCAGAGGUAGACAUCUGCUCCUAGACAGAUACAGUUCCACUGAUGCUAUCUAUAGCUGCAAUCCUUCUGAGAGAUAAACAACGUGCGAGAGCAACGCACAGAAGGAAAUACCACACUGAGAAAAUGAUGAUGGGAGACCAAGCUUGCGGCCCCUGUGGUCUGAGAAAGAGUGAGAGGCAGCAAAAGAAAAAGGGAGGGGUGACAUGUGGGGCCUGUACCAGGCACACGCAGGUGACUGAGUCGUAUGAUGGACACACAUCAAGAUGUAAAGCUGGAAGCUGUGUGAGAACUGACGCUGGAGGGGAGCAGAAUCACAGCAAAGAUGAAAGGCUGGACCUAGGGCUUGAUUUGCUUCCACAAAAGAUCAACAGCAUCGAAGUCUCAUCCUGUCAUCCUAUCUCACGCCGUUACCUCAAACCAAAAAUGCAACUCGUAAUAAUUCUUCCUGGUUACCCUGUGGUCUCAUUUGGUUAAAAAUAAAAGUUUCUUUUCUCUGUCUGGGAACAAGACAGCAAUAUCAAGAAGAAGAGUUUAAUUAAAAACUGGAGCUAAUCUCAAGACCUCAUGCUUUGGAAUUUAUUUAUUUAUUUUUAAUGUCUGCGUAUGAAAGGCUCUUGUCCAGAAAAACCUUGCCUAGAAAGUCUGAAGUUUUCUGUGUAUCUGAAGGAGGCAGAGGUGGACUUAAUGCCUUUAACAAGCAAUUCACUUGAGGCUAGAUUCUGCUAUCCUAACUCAGUUUAUACCCAAAGGUGGCAAAUUUAAAUACUUCUUCUGUCGACAGGUUGCUCAUAAAUAGAUAUAAACAGACGGCAUUUACCUCCGAUGUAUUCAUUAUGGAAAAUUGUGCAAUAAGCCUUAUUGUUUGUUUAACUUCACUCGUCUUCCUUAUUCUAGAGUGCAAUCAUGAAUGUUUGAGUGAUGUAGAUGUUGGUUUUAGUUAGUUGUUUAUUGUUUUCGUUUUUUUUUUUUUUAGAC
ensembl:lncRNA